GGUUAAGCGACUAAGCGUACACGGUGGAUGCCCUGGCAGUCAGAGGCGAUGAAGGACGUGCUAAUCUGCGAAAAGCGUCGGUAAGGUGAUAUGAACCGUUAUAGCCGGCGAUGUCCGAAUGGGGAAACCCAGUGUG
rnacentral:rRNA from 1 species